UACGUAGGUGGCAAGCGUUGUCCGGAAUUAUUGGGCGUAAAGCGCGCGCAGGCGGCUUCUUAAGUCUGAUGUGAAAGCCCACGGCUCAACCGUGGAGGGUCAUUGGAAACUGGGGAGCUUGAGUGCAGAAGAGGAGAGUGGAAUUCCAUGUGUAGCGGUGAAAUGCGUAGAUAUAUGGAGGAACACCAGUGGCGAAGGCGGCUCUCUGGUCUGUAACUGACGCUGAGGCGCGAAAGCGUGGGGAGCAAACAGG
rnacentral:rRNA from 1 species